AUGGUAUGUUUUACUUGUGGAGGGCCUGGCCAUUAUGUUGGUAAUUGCAUCCAGAAGAAAAUCUGCUUCAUCUGUGGAUUGGAGGGUCACAACGUCAACAACUAUGCGGCUUGGGCGCAACCUCAUCCAGUUGCCACUUUCUUUGGAAGCUCUGCCCUGGGAUUAGGGUUCUACCAAAUUGAUGCUCCUGUGGGUCGUGAAGCAAAUUGGCUUAACUUCAGAAACUAUGGAGAAGUUUGGGUCAUGAAAGGAGAGAUUAGCAAGUCGGAUCUGAUUAAUAACCUAUCAGGGAUUUUCAGCAAAAACAAACAGUGGACAUGGCAAGUCAGGCCUCUGACAGACAAGAAGUUCUUGGUCAGAUUCCCACCCUGGAAAGAUGUAGAAGAGUUGAUUGAGUUUCUAGCUUUUGAUUUACCUAUCGAUGGAGUGUCUGUGAUAGUUGAGAAGUGGACAAGUGCGAUUGAUCCUUUCAACGAGUUAACUGAAGCCUGGGUUGUCAUUGAGGGGCUCUCGUCCAAGUGGUGUACAUGGAAAGUGCUGUCACAGAUUGCUUCCUGCUUUGGAAUCCUCGUGGAUAUUGACUGGAAUGGUCUAAUGAAGAGUUUUUAUGAAAAAGUGAGGAUCAAGAUUGCUUGCAGGAACCCAGCGAAAAUCCCCUUUGAGAGAAUUAUGGAAAUGAGGAAAAAGCUGUAUAUCCUGUCAUUUACAGUGGAAGGCUUUGAGCAGAUAGGUGCUGGUGAUCCUAAUGAUGACAAUGGCCCUACUUACAUAUCCGUGGAUGAUGAUAAUAAGUAA
rnacentral:rRNA from 1 species